AGGCCCGUAGCUCAACUGGCAGAGCACCGGUCUCCAAAACCGGGGGUUGUGGGUUCGAUCCCUACCGGGCCUGCCA
rnacentral:tRNA from 2 species